UGGCGAACGGGUGAGUAACACGUGAGCAACCUGCCCUUGACUCUGGGAUAACAGUUGGAAACAGCUGCUAAUACUGGAUAUUCAUCGUCUCCUUGGUGGGGGGUGGUGGAAAGCUCCGGCGGUCAGGGAUGGGCUCGCGGCCUAUCAGCUUGUUGGUGAGGUAAUGGCUCACCAAGGCUUCGACGGGUAGCCGGCCUGAGAGGGCGACCGGCCACACUGGGACUGAGAUACGGCCCAGACUCCUACGGGAGGCAGCAGUGGGGAAUAUUGCACAAUGGGCGAAAGCCUGAUGCAGCAACGCCGCGUGCGGGAUGACGGCCUUCGGGUUGUAAACCGCUUUCAGUAGGGACGAAGGGUGACUGACGGUACCUACAGAAGAAGGACCGGCUAACUACGUGCCAGCAGCCGCGGUGAUACGUAGGGUCCGAGCGUUGUCCGGAAUUAUUGGGCGUAAAGGGCUUGUAGGCGGCUCGUCGCGUCAGAAGUGAAAACUCAGGGCUUAACCCUGAGCCUGCUUUUGAUAC
rnacentral:rRNA from 1 species